GAUGAACGCUGGCGGCGUGCCUAAUACAUGCAAGUCGAGCGAACGGACGAGAAGCUUGCUUCUCUGAUGUUAGCGGCGGACGGGUGAGUAACACGUGGAUAACCUACCUAUAAGACUGGGAUAACUUCGGGAAACCGGAGCUAAUACCGGAUAAUAUUGUGAACCGCAUGGUUCAAAAGUGAAAGACGGUCUUGCUGUCACUUAUAGAUGGAUCCGCGCUGCAUUAGCUAGUUGGUAAGGUAACGGCUUACCAAGGCAACGAUGCAUAGCCGACCUGAGAGGGUGAUCGGCCACACUGGAACUGAGACACGGUCCAGACUCCUACGGGAGGCAGCAGUAGGGAAUCUUGCGCAAUGGGCGAAAGCCUGACGGAGCAACGCCGCGUGAGUGAUGAAGGUCUUCGGAUCGUAAAACUCUGUUAUUAGGGAAGAACAUAUGUGUACGUAACUGUGCACAUCUUGACGGUACCUAAUCAGAAAGCCACGGCUAACUACGUG
rnacentral:rRNA from 1 species